rnacentral:sRNA from 1 species
AUUCUUCUUAAUGCCUAUUGCUUUCUGAUCAACUGGAAUUUAAGCCCAGACAUUUCCACGCCCAAAAGGUGUUCGAUGAAAUGUCUGAACCACUAAUUCCAGAGAUUCGUGGCCCUGUACCAAGGUAUUGGUUGCAGGGAGGUUUUGGCUUUAACUUGUUAAUUCGUAAUGCCUGUUAGGUUAGCUCUCGUCAAUGGUGAUUGAGACUGGGACUAGGUUAACUUGAGGGUCUCUGUUGCGGUGGCACUUAGAUUUGGUUAAUGAACUUAUUGUCUAAGGAUAAUUUAUUGAGCAUAUCAAUCACCUGUAAACUGAGGAAACGAAACUACUCAAUUACCCCAUCCUUAGGAAUUCUUUAUCUUAUUGAAUUUAUUGUUUACUCUACUGUUGUUUACUGCAUCUUGUAAUAUGUUGCUUAGUUUCUGCAAUUCUUUCUUGUUACUCGACCUGAUACUCGACCACCCAGUUGUCUGGCAACAGACUGUGCAGUCAAGUAUCUUUGUUUCAUUUACUGUUGGUUACUCGACCUCACCUAGUGCUCUGCAAAGAGCUGUGUUGGUCGAGUGUCUUACUCUUUCUGCUUGAUUUUCUGUUUUCUGCAUGUUCACUCAGGACUGCUAGAACACACCAAAACCUGUUAUUGCUUGGCUUGACUUAGUGACUUCUGAUCACAUCUUGAUUGUUCGCAUCACACCCAUUUAGACUGACAACCUAAGAUACUACAACGACAUGAUUGGUGUUUUAGGAUAAUUGACUAAAAAU